rnacentral:rRNA from 1 species
UACGAAGGGGGCUAGCGUUGCUCGGAAUCACUGGGCGUAAAGGGCGCGUAGGCGGACUUUUAAGUCGGGGGUGAAAGCCCAGGGCUCAACCCUGGAAUUGCCUUCGAUACUGAGAGUCUUGAGUUCGGAAGAGGUUGGUGGAACUGCGAGUGUAGAGGUGAAAAUUCGUAGAUAUUCGCAAGAACACCAGUGGCGAAGGCGGCCAACUGGUCCGAUACUGACG